AUUCUAUCGCGUGUUUUAGGUGUUGCUAACGCAAGUAAACGGGAAGUCGGUGCAUCACUAGAUAAUGCCGACACUGCCCCCGCAACGGUAAGUGAGAUGAGAUAAACGUUAUGCCACUGUACAGCGCUGUAUGGGAAGGUGUUUAUCAGGCAAAACUCACAAGUCCGGAGACCGGCCUGAAAAUAAAACGUGCCA
rnacentral:ncRNA from 21 species